GUCGUGCUCGAUCGGACGGGGCGCGCGACGCGGUACAGCGGCGCGGCGUUCCUCGCGAACGCGGGCAUCGACGUCGUGCUGAGCGAUCGCGUGCCGAACGCGCACGGGCCGUUCGUCGUCGUCGACGAUGCGGUGGUACUCGGCCGCGCGAGCUUCGCGCAAACGCGCGACGCGCGCGCGGCGGGCAACUUCGACGUGUUCUAUCGCGCGCCGCAGCUCGCGCAGUCGUAUGCGACGGCAUUCUGGCGGCUCUACGGCCUCGCGCGCCGAUAACGGGCGGCGGCUGCGGCGUAGGCGCGGGACGUGCCGCACCGUCGCGCGCGCGUCGACGCCCGCGCCGCCCCGUAUCGCCGACAUCGCCGACAUCGCCGACAUCGCCGACAUCGCCGGGCCGGUCGGACCAGUGCGACCGAAGAGGCCGGCAAGUCUUGCAAGGCCGCCGCAACCGGUUGCGGUUCGCCACCGCACCUUCGCGAUGGAGGGCGGCUGGCGGCCGAUCGCGUUCGCUUGCACAAUAGCCGCUCGAUAGCGAGGAUGUCGAUGCACGAACGACCGCCGAUCACGGCCGAGACGACACGGUUUGCCGCGCGGGACGGCCGGCUGCUGACGGGGACUUUCUAUGCGCCGGGCGCGCCGUCGGCGAGCAACGGCCGCAGCGUGCUGGUGAGCGGCGCGCUCGGCGUGCCGCGCGGCUUCUACGAGCGCUAUGCGCGUUUUUUGGCGAGCGACGGCUUUACCGUGCUGACCUACGACUAUCGCGGCAUCGGCGAUUCGCGCAAGCCGCCCGCCGAGGCCGACGGCGCGUCGCUGCGCGACUGGGGCGAAGCCGAUCUGCCGGGGGCGCUCGAUCAUCUGGCCGCGCGCGCGCCGUCGCAUCGGUUGCUCGCGGUCGCGCACAGCGUCGGCGGCCAGCUGUUCGGCCUCGCGCACAACAACGGACGCGCGGCGGCGCUGCUGUCGAUCUGUUGUCCGAGCGGCUACUGGCGGCUCUGGCCGUGGCCGCACCGGCUAUGGCUCGCGCCGCUCUGGUUCUGCGUCGUGCCGGCGCUCGGCGGCGUGCUGUCGCAUCUGCCGGUGCGGCGCGCGGGACUGGGCUUCGCCGCCGAUCUGCCGGCCGGCGUGAUGCGCGAGUGGGCGCGCUGGUGUCGCCACGCCGAUUAUCUGGUCGACGACGAAGGCCAUCCAUUGCGCGAGCAUUUCCGCGGCUACCGCGGCCGGAUUCUCGCAUACACGGUCAGCGACGACUGGAUGGCGCCGCCCGCCGCGGUGCAGGCGCUGCAUCGGUUCUAUUCGACCGCGCAGGUCGAGCAUCGCGAGAUCGCGCCGGAUCGGCGGCGGCACGCGAUCGGCCACUUCGGCUAUUUCCGCGACGACAAUCGCGCGCUGUGGCCGCUCGGCGCGGCGUGGCUGCGCGAGC
rnacentral:rRNA from 1 species